AUUGAACGCUGGCGGCAGGCCUAACACAUGCAAGUCGAGCGGAGCGGCGGACGGGUGAGUAAGGCCUAGGAAUCUGCCUGGUAGUGGGGGAUAACGUCAGGUAAUGGGCACUAAUACCGAAUACUCUCAGAGGAGGAUCGGUCGGAUUAGCUAGUUGGGGGGGUAAAGGCAUACCAAGGCGACGAUCCGUAACUGGUCUGAGAGGAUGAUCAGUCACACUGGAACUGAGACACGGUCCAGACUCCUACGGGAGGCAGCAGUGGGGAAUAUUGGACAAUGGGCGAAAGCCUGAUCCAGCCAUGCCGCGUGUGUGAAGAAGGUCUUCGGAUUGUAAAGCACUUUAAGUUGGGAGGCGUUACCAACAGAAUAAGCACCGGCUAACUUCGUGCCAGCAGCCGCGGUAAUUC
rnacentral:rRNA from 1 species